GGGACGGGCGGCAGCUCCAGCCGCGUUCCGCCCGGAACCGGGAGCGGGGAGCCGGAGCGGGACUGCUCCGCCGCUGCCCCCCGGCCCGGAGCGGGUACCGGCCCCGCGCCGCCGAGCCAUGGCCGCGCCUCGGCAGAACCCUGCACGGCUGAUGUCAGCGGGAUGCGUUCGGUGGCACCGGGCUGGCCAUGACCAUCGUGUGGUGGUGACGUUGAACCCCGGCCCAUCCAGUGCCGGCAGGGGGAAAGACUGGACAAAGCGACUCCUGCUGCAAAUACCAGCAUGUCAGGGCACCAGUGACGUUCGAGGACAUGACGGUCCAGUUCUCAAUGGAGGAGUGGGAGCUGCUGGAGAAACGGCAGUGGGACCUGCACCAGGAGAUGACAGAGGGGACAUGCUGGCUGCUGGCC